AGCUAAUACCGCAUAACGUCGCAAGACCAAAGAGGGGGACCUUCGGGCCUCUUGCCAUCGGAUGUGCCCAGAUGGGAUUAGCUAGUAGGUGGGGUAACGGCUCACCUAGGCGACGAUCCCUAGCUGGUCUGAGAGGAUGACCAGCCACACUGGAACUGAGACACGGUCCAGACUCCUACGGGAGGCAGCAGUGGGGAAUAUUGCACAAUGGGCGCAAGCCUGAUGCAGCCAUGCCGCGUGUAUGAAGAAGGCCUUCGGGUUGUAAAGUACUUUCAGCGGGGAGGAAGGGAGUAAAGUUAAUACCUUUGCUCAUUGACGUUACCCGCAGAAGAAGCACCGGCUAACUCCGUGCCAGCAGCCGCGGUAAUACGGAGGGUGCAAGCGUUAAUCGGAAUUACUGGGCGUAAAGCGCACGCAGGCGGUUUGUUAAGUCAGAUGUGAAAUCCCCGGGCUCAACCUGGGAACUGCAUCUGAUACUGGCAAGCUUGAGUCUCGUAGAGGGGGGUAGAAUUCCAGGUGUAGCGGUGAAAUGCGUAGAGAUCUGGAGGAAUACCG
rnacentral:rRNA from 1 species